UAUACCCAUAGCUUAAAAUCAAACAACCUUUUAAAAGAUUUAUUUGUUUUAUGUAUAUGAGUACACUGUAGCUGUACAGAUGGUUGUAAGCCACCAUGUGGUUGCUGGGAUUUGAACUUCAGGACCUUUGGAAGAGUAGUCAGUGCUCUUAACCGCUGAGCCAUCUCUCCAGCAAAAUAAAACAACGUUUUAAAAGUUCUAAUGGGUACAGGGUGCUGUUAGUGCCGUCCUAGGAAAUGAAUGCAAGUAUUACAUAGAGCGUAUGCCUCAAAUUACUCGACCAGGCUUUGCUGUCAUGGGAAAAGUGACUCUCUACCCACAGAGAAAUCCCUAAGUCCGGCGACGCCUGCUUGGUGCAGAAAUCCCCUCCUGAGGACAAGCUUCAGCCGUCUAUUUUGCCACAUGAAACCAAUCCUACCAGGAUAACAACAGUUGAGUGGAGCUUGAGUGCCCGAGGAUGUGAGGAAAAGGACACCCAAGAGAUGUUAACGUCAAACGGACUACGGAACUCUCAAACGGACUAAGGAACUAACUCUGUAUGGGACUGUCGGGGGUUCAGGACGUAAAGAUACUAAAUAAAGAAGCAGUGCUCUAGUCCGAGUUCAGCCUAGCUACUGGUCCUCCAUGAGCCUAGAGAAAGUUCUGCCCGAGAAGCUCUGAGACAGAGAGAAUGAGUGUCUACACCAGGCUGCCCCAUGUAGCCCGGAAAGAAGCGUCUUUAUC
rnacentral:lncRNA from 1 species